GUGAGGAAUCUUCCACAAUGGGCGAAAGCCUGAUGGAGCAACGCCGCGUGAAGGAUGAAGGUCUUCGGAUUGUAAACUUCUUUUAUGAGUGAAGAAUAUGACGGUAACUCAUGAAUAAGCACCGGCUAACUACGUGCCAGCAGCCGCGGUCAUACGUAGGGUGCAAGCAUUAUCCGGAGUGACUGGGCGUAAAGAGUUGCGUAGGCGGUUAUGUAAGCGAAUAGUGAAACCUGGUGGCUCAACCACACAGACUAUUAUUCGAACUGCAUAACUCGAGAAUGGUAGAGGUAACUGGAAUUUCUUGUGUAGGAAUGAAAUCCGUAGAUAUAAGAAGGAACACCAAUGGCGUAGGCAGGUUACUGGGCCAUUUCUGACGCUAAGGCACGAAAGCGUGGGGAGCGAACCGGAUUAGAAACCCCAGUAGUCC
rnacentral:rRNA from 1 species